GAUGAAGAACGUAGCGAAAUGCGAUAAGUAGUGUGAAUUGCAGAAUUCAGUGAAUCAUCGAAUCUUUGAACGCACAUUGCGCCAUUUGGUAUUCCAAAGGGCAUGCCUGUUCGAGCGUCAUUUGUACCCUCAAGCUUUGCUUGGUGUUGGGCGUCUUGUCUCUAGCUUUGCUGGAGACUCGCCUUAAAGUAAUUGGCAGCCGGCCUACUGGUUUCGGAGCGCAGCACAAGUCGCACUCUCUAUCAGCAAAGGUCUAGCAUCCAUUAAGCCUUUUUUUCAACUUUUGACCUCGGAUCAGGUAGGGAUACCCGCUGAACUUAAGCAUAUCAAUAAGCGGAGGA
rnacentral:misc_RNA from 1 species